UACGAAGGGGGCUAGCGUUGCUCGGAAUCACUGGGCGUAAAGGGUGCGUAGGCGGGUUUUUAAGGCAGGGGUGAAAUCCUGGAGCUCAACUCCAGAACUGCCUUUGAUACUGAAGAUCUUGAGUCCGGGAGAGGUGAGUGGAACUGCGAGUGUAGAGGUGAAAUUCGUAGAUAUUCGCAAGAACACCAGUGGCGAAGGCGGCUCACUGGCCCGGUACUGACGCUGAGGCACGAAAGCGUGGGGAGCAAACAGG
rnacentral:rRNA from 1 species